AAGACUAUAGACCUGCGGAGUACCUGCGGAGGGAUCAUUACCGAGUUUUCAACUCCCUAACCCUUCUGUGAGCCUACCUAUCGUUGCUUCGGCGGACUCGCCCCAGCCCGGACGCGGACUGGACCAGCGGCCCGCCGGGGACCUCAAACUCUUGUAUUCCAGCAUCUUCUGAAUACGCCGCAAGGCAAAACAAAUGAAUCAAAACUUUCAACAAUGGAUCUCUAGAUCGGAAGAGCACAC
rnacentral:misc_RNA from 1 species